rnacentral:piRNA from 1 species
UGGGUGAAUGGUCAAUGUCUUG